rnacentral:rRNA from 1 species
UACGUAGGUGGCUAGCGUUGUCCGGAUUUACUGGGCGUAAAGAGCGCGCAGGCGGUCGUUCAAGUCGAGUGUGAAAGCCCCCGGCUCAACUGGGGAGGGUCACUCGAUACUGAUCGACUUGAAGGCAGGAGAGGGAAGCGGAAUUCCCGGUGUAGUGGUGAAAUGCGUAGAUAUCGGGAGGAACACCAGUGGCGAAGGCGCUUUCUGGCCUGUUCUUGACGCUGAGGCGCGAAAGCUAAGGGUAGCAAACGGGGAGUUAAGA